UUACGGUCGUAUCACAUUUGAAACACUGGUUCUCGUACGAUCACCGAAGUUAAGUAACGUCGUGCCUGGUCUGUAGCUAGAUGAGUGACUGCUUAGGAAUACCAGGUGAUGUAA